UACGUAGGUGUCAAGCGUUGUCCGGAUUUAUUGGGCGUAAAGCGCCCGCAGGCGGCUUGCCAAGUUCGAUGUGAAAUCUCCCGGCUCAACUGGGAGGGUGCAUCGAAAACUGGCAGGCUUGAGGCAGGGAGAGGGAUGUGGAAUUCCAGGUGUAGCGGUGAAAUGCGUAGAUAUCUGGAGGAAUACCGGUGGCGAAGGCGGCAUCCUGGACCGGCAUUGACGCUGAUGAGCGAAAGCUAGGGGAGCAAACGGG
rnacentral:rRNA from 1 species